CGAAUGCUGACAUAAGUAACGAUAAAGCGGGUGAAAAGCCCGCUCGCCGGAAGACCAAGGGUUCCUGUCCAACGUUAAUCGGGGCAGGGUGAGUCGACCCCUAAGGCGAGGCCGAAAGGCGUAGUCGAUGGGAAACAGGUUAAUAUUCCUGUACUUGGUGUUACUGCGAAGGGGGGACGGAGAAGGCUAUGUUGGCCGGGCGACGGUUGUCCCGGUUUAAGCGUGUAGGCUGGUUUUCCAGGCAAAUCCGGAAAAUCAAGGCUGAGGCGUGAUGACGAGGCACUACGGUGCUGAAGCAACAAAUGCCCUGCUUCCAGGAAAAGCCUCUAAGCAUCAGGUAACAUCAAAUCGUACCCCAAACCGACACAGGUGGUCAGGUAGAGAAUACCAAGGCGCUUGAGAGAACUCGGGUGAAGGAACUAGGCAAAAUGGUGCCGUAACUUCGGGAGAAGGCACGCUGAUAUGUAGGUGAAGUCCCUCGCGGAUGGAGCUGAAAUCAGUCGAAGAUACCAGCUGGCUGCAACUGUUUAUUAAAAACACAGCACUGUGCAAACACGAAAGUGGACGUAUACGGUGUGACGCCUGCCCGGUGCCGGAAGGUUAAUUGAUGGGGUCAGCGCAAGCGAAGCUCUUGAUCGAAGCCCCGGUAAACGGCGGCCGUAACUAUAACGGUCCUAAGGUAGCGAAAUUCCUUGUCGGGUAAGUUCCGACCUGCACGAAUGGCGUAAUGAUGGCCAGGCUGUCUCCACCCGAGACUCAGUGAAAUUGAACUCGCUGUGAAGAUGCAGUGUACCCGCGGCAAGACGGAAAGACCCCGUGAACCUUUACUAUAGCUUGACACUGAACAUUGAGCCUUGAUGUGUAGGAUAGGUGGGAGGCUUUGAAGUGUGGACGCCAGUCUGCAUGGAGCCGACCUUGAAAUACCACCCUUUAAUGUUUGAUGUUCUAACGUUGACCCGUAAUCCGGGUUGCGGACAGUGUCUGGUGGGUAGUUUGACUGGGGCGGUCUCCUCCUAAAGAGUAACGGAGGAGCACGAAGGUUGGCUAAUCCUGGUCGGACAUCAGGAGGUUAGUGCAAUGGCAUAAGCCAGCUUGACUGCGAGCGUGACGGCGCGAGCAGGUGCGAAAGCAGGUCAUAGUGAUCCGGUGGUUCUGAAUGGAAGGGCCAUCGCUCAACGGAUAAAAGGUACUCCGGGGAUAACAGGCUGAUACCGCCCAAGAGUUCAUAUCGACGGCGGUGUUUGGCACCUCGAUGUCGGCUCAUCACAUCCUGGGGCUGAAGUAGGUCCCAAGGGUAUGGCUGUUCGCCAUUUAAAGUGGUACGCGAGCUGGGUUUAGAACGUCGUGAGACAGUUCGGUCCCUAUCUGCCGUGGGCGCUGGAGAACUGAGGGGGGCUGCUCCUAGUACGAGAGGACCGGAGUGGACGCAUCACUGGUGUUCGGGUUGUCAUGCCAAUGGCACUGCCCGGUAGCUAAAUGCGGAAGAGAUAAGUGCUGAAAGCAUCUAAGCACGAAACUUGCC
rnacentral:rRNA from 1 species